rnacentral:rRNA from 1 species
GAGACUCAGUGAAAUUGAACUCGCUGUGAAGAUGCAGUGUACCCGCGGCAAGACGGAAAGACCCCGUGAACCUUUACUAUAGCUUGACACUGAACAUUGAGCCUUGAUGUGUAGGAUAGGUGGGAGGCUUUGAAGUGUGGACGCCAGUCUGCAUGGAGCCAACCUUGAAAUACCACCCUUUAACGUUUGAUGUUCUAACCUAGGCCCAUAAACUGGGUCGGGGACCGUGUCUGGUGGGUAGUUUGACUGGGGCGGUCUCCUCCUAAAGAGUAACGGAGGAGCACGAAGGUUGGCUAAGCAUGGUCGGACAUCAUGCGGUUAGUGCAAAGGCAUAAGCCAGCUUGACUGCGAGAGUGACGGCUCGAGCAGGUACGAAAGUAGGUCUUAGUGAUCCGGUGGUUCUGAAUGGAAGGGCCAUCGCUCAACGGAUAAAAGGUACUCCGGGGAUAACAGGCUGAUACCGCCCAAGAGUUCAUAUCGACGGCGGUGUUUGGCACCUCGAUGUCGGCUCAUCACAUCCUGGGGCUGAAGUAGGUCCCAAGGGUAUGGCUGUUCGCCAUUUAAAGUGGUACGCGAGCUGGGUUUAGAACGUCGUGAGACAGUUCGGUCCCUAUCUGCCGUGGGCGUUGGAAGAUUGAGAGGGGUUGCUCCUAGUACGAGAGGACCGGAGU